rnacentral:rRNA from 1 species
GACGGGACCCGCACAAGCAGCGGAGCGUGUGGUUUUAAUUCGUUGCUACACGAAGAACCUUACCUGGGUUUGACAUAUAGGUUGUAGGGAACUGAAAAGGGACCGACCCUUCGGGGAGCCUAUACAGGUGUUGCAUGGCUGUCGUCAGCUCGUGUCGUGAGAUGUUCGGUUAAGUCCGCUAACGAGCGCAACCCUCGUCGUAUGUUAUAUGUGUCAUACGAGACUGCCGGUAAAAGCCGGAGGAAGGUGAGGAUGAUGUCAAGUCAGCAUGACCUUUAUAUCCAGGGCUACACACACGCUACAAUGGUCUGUACAAUGGGUAGCCAAGCCGCGAGGCGGAGCCAAUCCUGAAAGCAGGCCUCAGUUCAGAUUGCAGUCUGCAACUCGACUGCAUGAAGCCGGAGUUGCUAGUAACCGCAGGUCAGCAAUACUGCGGUGAAUACGUUCCCGGGUCUU